ACGAAGGGGGCAAGCGUUGUUCGGAAUCACUGGGCGUAAAGCGCACGUAGGCGGAUUGUUAAGUUAGGGGUGAAAUCCCGGGGCUCAACCUCGGAACUGCCUCUGAUACUGGCAAUCUUGAGUUCGGGAGAGGAGUGUGGAACUCCGAGUGUAGAGGUGAAAUUCGUAGAUAUUCGGAAGAACACCAGAGGCGAAGGCGGACACUCUGCCCGAUACUGACGCUGAGGUGCGAAAAGCGUGGGGAGCAAACAGGGAUUAAGAUACCCGCGUAGUCC
rnacentral:rRNA from 1 species